AAAAAAAAAAAUGAAUCCUAUAAAAAGACCACAAAAUAUGUGGAGCAAACGAGAAGAAAAACAAAGAAACUCCUUUGAUUCUUGAAGAUAUACAGCAGUAAACAAGAAAAUUAAAGUGGCUAUAUUUGAAAAGCCAUUGUUACAAGAAAAUUAAGAAGCCAAGAAACAGGUUGUUUUCUGCUUGAGUUAGGAAAAGUUGGUUUGCUUUAUUUGUGGACUUUUUAUAAUUUUUUUUUACAUAAGAGGAAGUGGGUAUUUCUUGAAAGUGGAUAUAGACUUUAGUGGGAAUCUACUAAGAGUAAAUUUUUUUUUUUUUUUUAUAAAUUAAGGAGAGGAGGGAAGGAAACAGAAAACAGAAAGUAAGACAAAAACCUUGGAAUUGUUUUAGAAAACCAAGGUUUUCCUGUUCAAAAUGUCUGUUGCCUUGUUAUGGGUUGUUUCACCUUGUGAGGUCUCAAAUGGGACAGGAUUCUUGGAUUCAAUCCGGGAGGGAAACCGGGUUUUUGAUUCGUCGAGGUAUAGGAAUUUAGUGUGCAAUGAGAGAAUCAAGAAAGGUGUGAAACAAAGGUGGAAUUUUGGUUCUGUAAGGUCUGCUAUGGUGGCUACACCGGCUGGAGAAAUAGCGACGAUGACAUCAGAACAGAAGGUUUAUGAUGUGGUUUUAAAACAAGCAGCUUUAGUGAAGAGGCAGCUGAGAUCUACUGAUGAUUUAGAAGUGAAGCCGGAGAUCCCUCUCCCGAGGAAUUUGAGCUUGUUGAGUGAAGCAUAUGAUAGGUGUAGUGAAGUAUGUGCAGAGUAUGCAAAGACAUUUUACUUAGGAACUAUGCUAAUGACUCCAGAGAGAAGAAGGGCUAUUUGGGCAAUAUAUGUAUGGUGCAGGAGAACAGACGAACUUGUUGAUGGCCCGAACGCAUCACAUAUUACACCCCAAGCCUUAGAUAGGUGGGAAGACCGGCUUGAAGAUGUUUUCAGUGGGCGGCCAUUUGACAUGCUCGAUGCUGCUUUGUCCGAUACUGUUUCCAGGUUUCCAGUUGAUAUUCAGCCGUUCAGAGAUAUGAUUGAAGGAAUGCGUAUGGACUUGAGGAAGUCAAGAUAUAGAAACUUUGAUGAGCUAUACCUAUAUUGUUAUUACGUUGCUGGUACUGUUGGGUUGAUGAGUGUUCCAAUUAUGGGCAUCGCACCUGAAUCAAAGGCAACAACAGAGAGUGUAUAUAAUGCAGCUUUGGCUUUGGGUAUUGCGAAUCAACUAACCAACAUACUCAGAGAUGUCGGAGAAGAUGCUAGAAGAGGAAGAGUCUACUUACCUCAAGAUGAAUUAGCACAGGCAGGUCUCUCCGAUGAUGACAUAUUUGCCGGAAAAGUGACGGAUAAAUGGAGAAGCUUUAUGAAGAAGCAAAUCCAGAGGGCAAGAAAGUUCUUUGAUGAGGCAGAGGAAGGAGUGACACAACUGAGCUCAGCUAGUAGAUGGCCUGUAUGGGCAUCGUUGCUGUUGUACCGCCAAAUACUCGAUGAGAUUGAAGCCAAUGACUACAACAACUUCACAAAGAGAGCUUAUGUGAGCAAACCAAAGAAGCUAAUUUCCUUACCUAUUGCUUAUGCAAAAUCUCUUGUGCCCCCUACAAGAACUCUCGUCUCCUCUAGCUAAGGCAUCAAUAUCAGAUUUAAAUUAAAGCAAGAAAGCAUAUACUGUUAAAAAAGAAAGAAUUUAUAAAGUAGAUAAUUGUUGUAUUGAUGUCACUUGUAUAUCAUCAAAAGUAGAUUUUAAAAUCCAAUAUAACAAUUUCUAGUAAUUGUAUCUUCACAAUCUUAAACCCUUUGAGGGAAAUUCUUUUUGGUUCAUUGGAAAAAAAUUGUUGACUCCA